AGUAAAGUCAGCUAAAUAAGCUAUCGGGCCCAUACCCCGAAAAUGCCACUACGGCCUUCACUA
rnacentral:tRNA from 2 species